AACGAACGCUGGCGGCAUGCCUAACACAUGCAAGUCGAACGAUUGCCUUCGGGUGAUAGUGGCGCACGGGUGCGUAACGCGUGGGAAUCUGCCCUUAGGUUCGGAACAACAGCUGGAAACGGCUGCUAAUACCGGAUGAUAUCGCGAGAUCAAAGAUUUAUCGCCUGAGGAUGAGCCCGCGUUGGAUUAGGUAGUUGGUGGGGUAAAGGCCUACCAAGCCGACGAUCCAUAGCUGGUCUGAGAGGAUGAUCAGCCACACUGGGACUGAGACACGGCCCAGACUCCUACGGGAGGCAGCAGUGGGGAAUAUUGGACAAUGGGCGCAAGCCUGAUCCAGCAAUGCCGCGUGAGUGAUGAAGGCCCUAGGGUUGUAAAGCUCUUUUACCCGGGAAGAUAAUGACUGUACCGGGAGAAUAAGCCCCGGCUAACUCCGUG
rnacentral:rRNA from 1 species